rnacentral:tRNA from 1 species
UGGGGUAUAGCCAAGUGGUAAGGCAACGGGUUUUGAUCCCGUGAUUCCCAGGUUCAAAUCCUGGUACCCCAGCCA